UACGUAGGGUGCGAGCGUUGUCCGGAAUUAUUGGGCGUAAAGGGCUCGUAGGCGGUUUGUCGCGUCGGGAGUGAAAACCUUGGGCUUAACUCAGGGCUUGCUUUCGAUACGGGCAGACUAGAGGUAUGCAGGGGAGAACGGAAUUCCUGGUGUAGCGGUGAAAUGCGCAGAUAUCUGGAGGAACACCGGUGGCGAAGGCGGCAUCCUGGACCGGCAUUGACGCUGAGGCGCGAAAGCCAGGGGAGCAAACGGG
rnacentral:rRNA from 1 species